GAGUUUGAUCGUGGCUCAGAUUGAACGCUGGCGGCAUGCCUUACACAUGCAAGUCGAACGGCAGCACGGGAGCUUGCUCCUGGUGGCGAGUGGCGAACGGGUGAGUAAUAUAUCGAAACGUACCCUAGAGUGGGGAUAACGCAGCGAAAGUUGCGCUAAUACCGCAUACGAUCUACGGAUGAAAGUGGGGGAUCGGCAAGACCUCAUGCUCAUGGAGCGGCCGAUAUCUGAUUAGCUAGUUGGUGGGU
rnacentral:rRNA from 1 species